UUCUAAGGGCGGUGAAGUCAGACCGGAAGGACUGGUGGAGCGCUUAGAAGUGAGAAUGCCGGUAUGAGUAGCGAAAGAAGGGUGAGAAUCCCUUCCACCGAAUAUCUAAGGUUUCCUGAGGAAGGCUCGUCCGCUCAGGGUUAGUCGGGACCUAAGCCGAGGCCGAUAGGCGUAGGCGAUGGACAACAGGUAGAGAUUCCUGUACCAGUGCUAAUUGUUUAACCGAUGGGGUGACACAGAAGGAUAGGGAAUCGCACGAAUGGAAAUGUGCGUCCAAGCAGUGAGUGUGAGAAGUAGGCAAAUCCGCUUCUCGCGAAGCAUGAGCUGUGAUGGGGAAGGAAAUUAAGUACGGAAGUUCCUGAUUUCACGCUGUCAAGAAAAGCCUCUAGGAAGAGUAGUACUGCCCGUACCGCAAACCGACACAGGUAGAUGAGGAGAGAAUCCUAAGGUGAGCGAGAGAACUCUCGUUAAGGAACUCGGCAAAAUGACCCCGUAACUUCGGGAGAAGGGGUGCUCUAUUAGGGUGCAAGCCCGAGAGAGCCGCAGUGAAUAGGCCCAGGCGACUGUUUAGCAAAAACACAGGUCUCUGCAAAACCGUAAGGUGACGUAUAGGGGCUGACGCCUGCCCGGUGCUGGAAGGUUAAGAGGAGUGCUUAGCUUCGGCGAAGGUACGAAUUGAAGCCCCAGUAAACGGCGGCCGUAACUAUAACGGUCCUAAGGUAGCGAAAUUCCUUGUCGGGUAAGUUCCGACCCGCACGAAAGGCGCAACGAUCUGGGCACUGUCUCAACGAGAGACUCGGUGAAAUUAUAGUACCUGUGAAGAUGCAGGUUACCCGCGACAGGACGGAAAGACCCCGUGGAGCUUUACUGCAACCUGAUAUGGAAUGUUUGUACCGCUUGUACAGGAUAGGUAGGAGCCGAAGAGACGUGUGCGCUAGCAUACGAGGAGGCAAUGGUGGGAUACUACCCUGGCUGUAUGACCAUUCUAACCCGCCACGCUUAG
rnacentral:rRNA from 1 species